AUCAAGUAGAUUGAACAGCAUCAAAAUUUACCUGCUCAUGCAAAGCUUCUUUUAAAUGAGAAACAAGUACAACUCUAUUUGCUUCAACUAAUUUAAGGUUCUCUAUGCACUGUUUCAAGGUGCUACUCUGUUCUGCUGUAUGCUUACCAAUAGAGCACGCAAUGUCAACAUCGUUUUCCAUCUUUUUCAUGUGUUGAAUAGCAGACUUGGAUUUACUCAUCUCUGCAUCUUCAAUAGAUUGUUCAGUGAGCACCGAAUGAAAUGCAGAUACUAUUUUUUCUGCUGGACCUCCUAUGGACAAUUUCUGGCUUCAAUACAAUAUCACGACAAUGAGAUAUUUAAGGAAUAUUGCAACCCAGUUUGAGGGACGUAUCACCAAUAGAAUGAUUUAAGUUUAAAAUUGGAAGAGGCAGGAGUAGAGCUUAGUCUUACCAAUUUGAUGGAGCGAGAAUCCCUUUUAACAAUUUUUAAAGAACCAGAGCGUGAUCUCUUUUUGCUGAAUUGCAAUGGUGUAGGUGCUUCUUCUGCAAGCAUUAGAUCUUUAAGGUUCUUUGCCCGA